UCCAUUGAGAUAAAAAGAGAAGGGCGUUUUUCUGUAGACCUCUGAGAAGCAGAUACACUCGUAGUACAAAGAUGCAUCACGUCAACAUAUGGAGAGUUAAAGCAGGACACAGGGUCUGUGCAGAGGACUCGUCUGGUUCUCCUGGUCUUCAUUGAAGAUCUGUGCCGAUGGAUGUCUAGUUAUCGUUGUCUACGCUGACAAUCAGGCCUGCGCUGUGGUCGUCUCAGGGUGCAGGCCUACCAUCUGGUCUGGAUUGGACUGCAUUGAAACAUGAAUAUCAUCAGUGUGAUGUGUAGAGAGAUUCAGACCACAGAUGGGUAUGAAUACAGAGUUCCUGCUGAUAGAUUUGGUCAAUUCCAUAAUCGUGACUGUGAGCGGUUCUGGUAUUCACAGGUGAGUGUGUUUCUGUCCUCAAACUACACAAUUAUUCACACACACACACACACACACACACAUGAUCUGAUAGGGUUUUAUUUCUUCAGGACGGGCGUCUG